ACAAAGUCUCCAUCAUUCUAUCGUAUCAAGUCUUAACUAUACUGCUUGACUUUCAAAGCCUGCCAUUAUCCAGCUCUAUCAUUCCUACCUAAAGUUUUUGUUGUUGUUCAGUCGUUUCGAUUGCAUCUGACUCUUUGUGACCUCAUUUCAGGGUUUUCUUGGCAGAGACACUGCAGUGGUUUGCCAUUUGCUUCUCCAGUUAUCUAACAGAAAUUGGGAGAAGAAGAGAGUGAGGAAGGGGGAGAAUCCAGAGUGAAGGGAGCCAAUGAACAUCAAAACCUGGUGAAAGGUACCACCAACCACUUCAGAACAGCUGGGAAGUCUGCAUUAAAAGCAGCUUAGACCGCAAGGACUACAAAAGCCUGUCUCUGUCAGUACUGACCUUUCUGAUCAGAGUAAAUGGUGAGGAAACUGAGGCAAAUAAGGUGGUCACACAGCUAGCAAAUAUCUGAGGCCAGGUUUGAAUCCAGGAAGGUGAGUAUUCCUGAUUCCAGGCUUGAUAUUCUAACCACUAUACCUCCUAACUGCUAUUCUGUGUGCUUACAGACUAUUCAAUCAGCUA
rnacentral:lncRNA from 1 species